CUUUUGAGACUGACAGAUAUGGCGCGAUAUGGCAGCGAGCCAUAUCAGUUUCUGUGAUAUUCUUAUUAAGAUAAAUAUUUUAUUAAUGUGGCAAGAUCACUAUGUAUAUUUCACUGAAUUAGAUAUUGUAAGGGUGAGAAAGUCUUUUAAGCAGUGUGGGUCUGGAUGCCCCAGUGGGUCAUGAAGGUACUACAGGUGGGCCACAGUAAAAACAGAAAUUCAGGUUGAAAUUAGUCACAGGUGUGUUAAAUUACACAUUCAUCUGAAUGUAUUUAUUUAUAUAAAAAGUGAAUUAAAAAUAAAAGGUGGUGAUAUCACUGACUACUCUGACCUAUAUUCACUGCUCUGUAAGAACAGAUCUUUAUUGUCACUGUUACAAAAACAAUGAAACACAUUGAAGUUUGUGUGUCAGUGGCAGGUGGGUCACACAUUGACUUUAACACUUUGCGUUUGAUUGAUUAGAUUAAAGAUUUAGGUUUGGGUGGAGUGUGUGGGAUUUUCUGUUUGUUGAGUGGGAGGAACACCACUCUUGUUUUUUGGGAAUUGGUGACUUAAAAUAUUUUCAGUUUUAGUAUUUGGACUUUAAAUCAAAUAAAGAAUAAUGCAGCAAAUGUUUACACAGUUACUUACAGAUUAUUGAGUUGGUGCAGCUGUCUGCUCAGCUUUGCACUUUUUGAUGGACUCAAAGAGAUCUGAAGUUUUCUUCUGCCCUUUACAACAAAUCUCACACGUAGGAAAUCAAAGCUCUUUGUUGCUUUUAAGUAAUUAGAAUGGAAACACUGUUCCUGUUUUAUUUCCAGUCACUAAUUCCAAAGUGUUUACUGUUUAUCUGACAACAGCUUCUUUUUUCUGUUCUCCCACGUCAGCACAGAGAAAUGAAGUGAAUAUUCACAGGUACACACAAUAACAAGAAUCUUUGAAAUCACUUCACAGAGAGAUGAUGACAAAACAACAGAAACAUUUUAAAAAUAGCUCCAUGUUGAGGUAGAGCUUGUUUUACAGAUGAUGAUGUACGUAAACUGUACACACUAGCAGGAAAUGAAUGAGUCCAUCUGUACCAAUAAUACUCACUGAACCAGUUUGACCAGGAUACUGAUGAACACACACACACAUACAUGCAAACACACACAUACUCAGUGCUGCUGAUGAUCGGACAAUUGUAAUCAGUAAAUUAUUGAUUAUUAGGUCAGUCUGAGGUGACGACUUCAUGAAGAGUUUUCACGUCUUUCUGAGACUCACUUCUCCACAAACUCAAAGCUGACUUUAAAGAUCCUCCAGAUGUUUUCAGAGUAAACACUAUCAGAUCCAUGUGUUAUUGUUUAAAUUUUUUCAGGUAAUGUAGGCAAGAAUAGAUCUUUGCUGUAACUUGUUUUGAGCAGCCACAUAUCUCACGUAGUCAGCAUUCAGUUUACUGAGAAAGCACAAACCACUACUUGUUUCUGUUCUCACAGACGUUCACAGACUUGGCAGUUUAGUCUGUAGACACUGACAGCUGGAGUGGGCAGUGUAAAACUGAUUCAUUUUGAUUUUAAAUUAAUUGUAACUUUUUUCUGAUUUAAAUCUGUUUUUCAACCCUGAAGAUGUUUCCUGACAUGAUGGUGGUUAUGAGCCGAUGACGUUAUGCUGAGAAAAACUACCAGAUGGAGACAAGAACAGAAUAAAAUCUGUCGCUUAGAGAUGGGGUGAGGAGUUGAAUCAUCCAGGAGAGGCUCAGAAUAGAGAUGCUGCUCCUCCACAUCGAAAGGAGCCAGAUGAGGUGGUUUGGGCAUCUGACUAGGAUUCGUCUUGGACGCCUCCUGGGUGAGAUGUUCUUUGGAUAUCUCACUAGAAUGAGACCAUGCAGCAGACCCAGGACACGCUGGAGAGAUUAUACCUUUUGUCAGUAGGAACAGGAAGGACAGGCUUCUCUGCUUAGGCUGCUGCCCCCAUAUAAACAGAAGAAAAUGGAUGGAUUCAUUCAUGUAAAUCCUAUUUUUUCCAUCCUGAUGAUCAGAAGAGUGUUGGAGGGCUUCAGAGAUCCUUCAGAACAACA